rnacentral:rRNA from 1 species
GGAAUCCGCUAAGGAGUGUGUAACAAKUCACCUGCCGAAUGAAUUAGCCCUGAAAAUGGAUGGCGCUGAAGCGGGUAGCCGACACCACGCCGUCUGGACAAAGUGGUCUUUCAGAUGAGUAGGAGGGCGUGGCGGUUGUAUCGAAGCGUGGAUGCGAAUCUGCGUGGAACAGCCGCUAGUGCAGAUCUUGGUGGUAGUAGCAAAUAUUCAAGCGAGAUCCUUGAAGGGCGAAGCGGGGAAGGGUUCCACGCGAACAUUGAUUGGGCGUGGGUGAGUCGUUCCUAAGCCGCGUGGCAAUAGCUAAUUACCGGCGAAAGGGAAGCAGGUUGACAUUCCUGCACACGGAUGUGGAGACGGCGACGAUACAUGAGGCGAUCACGCUGGCGGUGGCGCUGGGCAGAGUUGUCUUUUCUGUUUGACCAUUGAAUACUUGCUGUGUGGAAUCCGCUUGUCGGGAGAAACACGCAGGUACGGGCAGAGCGCCGGGGCUUUUCCGGCGUCCAGCUCGCCACCGACGGCCCUUGAAAAAUUGCCUGCUGAACAACACUUGUGUUGUGAGAUCCACGCCGUGGCGUACCGAUAACCGCAUCAGGUCCCCAAGGUGAACAGCCUCUGCUCAKUAUGAACAAKGCAGGUAAGGGAAGUCGGCA